rnacentral:rRNA from 1 species
UACAGAGGUCUCAAGCGUUGUUCGGAUUCAUUGGGCGUAAAGGGUGCGUAGGUGGCGCCGUAAGUCAGGUGUGAAAUUUCGGAGCUUAACUCCGAAACUGCAUUCGAUACUGCCGUGCUUGAGGACUGGAGAGGAGACUGGAAUUUACGGUGUAGCGGUGAAAUGCGUAGAUAUCGUAAGGAAGACCAGUGGCGAAGGCGGGUCUCUGGACAGUUCCUGACGCUGAGGCACGAAGGUCAGGGGAGCAAACGGG